UACGGACGGUGCGAGCGUUGUCCGGAAUCACUGGGCGUAAAGGGCGCGUAGGCGGCCGUGUAAGUCACUUGUGAAAGCCCGGGGCUCAACCCCGGGGCUGCAGGUGAGACUGCGUGGCUAGAGCACGGUAGAGGCGAGUGGAAUUCCCGGUGUAGCGGUGGAAUGCGUAGAUAUCGGGAAGAACACCGGUGGCGAAGGCGGCGCGCUGGGCCGUUGCUGACGCUGAGGCGCGAAAGCGUGGGGAGCGAACAGG
rnacentral:rRNA from 1 species